rnacentral:rRNA from 1 species
CAUGCAAGUCGAACGGCAGCACGGACUUCGGUCUGGUGGCGAGUGGCGAANNGGGNGAGUAAUAUAUCGGAACGUAUCCAAUAAUGGGGGAUAACUAAUCGAAAGGUUGGCUAAUACCGCAUACGCCCUACGGGGGAAAGCUAGGGACCUUCGGGCCUGGCGUUAAUGGAGCGGCUGAUAUCUGAUUAGCUAGUUGGUGAGGUAAAAGCUCACCAAGGCGACGAUCAGUAGCUGGUCUGAGAGGACGACCAGCCACACUGGAACUGAGACACGGUCCAGACUCCUACGGGAGGCAGCAGUGGGGAAUUUUGGACAAUGGGCGAAAGCCUGAUCCAGCCAUUCCGCGUGAGUGAAGAAGGCCUUCGGGUUGUAAAGCUCUUUCGCAAGGUAAGAAAACUUAGGCGCUAAUAUCGCUUGAGGUUGACGGUACCUUGAUAAGAAGCACCGGCUAACUACGUGCCAGCAGCCGCGGUAAUACGUAGGGUGCGAGCGUUAAUCGGAAUUACUGGGCGUAAAGCGUGCGCAGGCGGUUUUGUAAGUCAGAUGUGAAAUCCCCGAGCUCAACUUGGGAACUGCGUUUGAAACUACAAGACUAGAAUAU